rnacentral:lncRNA from 1 species
UGUAGGCUAUUGAAAUGAAACACACUGAUCUCAUGCAAAGAACCAUGCAGCUGGUACCAUGGGAGGAAGACAGUCAGAUCCUUUCUAAUGGAAAAAUGAAGUCAGACCAAGCUUGCCUCCCUUCUUUUGCAAAAUGUAAUUAUGUAAACUACAAAGCUCCAUUAUAGACAAUGUUUAUAAUUAGUACUAUUUUCCCCUUAAUUUUAAAUAAAGCGUGUUAGUUGUGAAUGUCAUGCCAACAUAUUUUCUACAGAUGCUAUAAACAAUGAACAAUCAGAAAUCCA